rnacentral:rRNA from 1 species
UAGGGAAUCUUCCGCAAUGGGCGAAAGCCUGACGGAGCAACGCCGCGUGAGUGAUGAAGGUCUUCGGAUCGUAAAACUCUGUUAUUAGGGAAGAACAAAUGUGUAAGUAACUAUGCACGUCUUGACGGUACCUAAUCAGAAAGCCACGGCUAACUACGUGCCAGCAGCCGCGGUAAUACGUAGGUGGCAAGCCUUAUCCGGAAUUAUUGGGCGUAAAGCGCGCGUAGGCGGUUUUUUAAGUCUGAUGUGAAAGCCCACGGCUCAACCGUGGAGGGUCAUUGGAAACUGGAAAACGUGAGUGCAGAAGAGGAAAGUGGAAUUCCAUGUGUAGCGGUGAAAUGCGCAGAGAUAUGGAGGAACACCAGUGGCGAAGGCGACUUUCUGGUCUGUAACUGACGCUGAUGUGCGAAAGCGUGGGGAUCAAACAGG